UACGAAGGGGGCUAGCGUUGUUCGGAAUUACUGGGCGUAAAGCGCACGUAGGCGGAUAUUUAAGUCAGGGGUGAAAUCCCCAGAGCUCAACUCUGGAACUGCCUUUGAUACUGGGUAUCUCGAGUAUGGAAGAGGUGAGUGGAAUUCCGAGUGUAGAGGUGAAAUUCGUAGAUAUUCGCAAGAACACCAGUGGCGAAGGCGGCUCACUGGCCCGAUACUGACGCUGAGGCACGAAAGCGUGGGGAGCAAACAGG
rnacentral:rRNA from 1 species